CUCUCCCUCAUCUUUCUCCUGGUGGUCUCCCGUGCCAGCGUAGAGAAGAAGAAGAAGACGGAGGUGGUGCAAAGCAGCGACGAGGAUGGCGGCGGCGGCGCUGGAUUUCAGUUUGGGGGACGUGUUCUUUUCCUCAUAAUAGUGAUUAGAAGGUGUUAGUGGUGGAGGCAGUGAUCAAUUUUGGGCAUUGGCACUUGAUCGAACCCUUGAGGCGGCUGCCAAGAACAUUGCGGCAGUUUGGACACUAAAUUUGGGGUACACCGGGCACAUCCCGUAGACCUUGAGCGACCAGUUUUGAAGCUCGAAGCAUUUUGAAGAGUUUUGUAGGCGCACGACAGGUUUUGGCAGACCCGGGGUAGCAGGUUGAUCAGAUGGCUUCACUCACAUCCUACUGGGGAGGUUUUGGGUCUUUGGUAGUGUCGGCGCAUCAUGGUUUGGUCUUUUUGAUGUCUUAUUUUUGUUAGGCUUCAAAGUUGUAAUUUGGGGCAUUUUUGUCAUACACAUAGAUGUGAUUUUGUAUGAAUUGAAAUUGUUAUAUAAAUGAAAGUUUGCCCUAUGGUUUCAAAUGAUAUAGCUCCCUCUUUUUUGAAUUGUUGUGUAGUCACACCUCAAUGCUUUAGAAAAAAAAAUUUGUUUGAGGGUCAAAAGGUUGGGGUGUGACAUAGAUUGUUUUUAUGAUUGUUCUCAAAUUUGAGCCCUACCUAAGCGAGUUUGGAAUUUUCCUGGCUUGUUGCCAUACUGCGAAGGCUAAGCCUUCUGUUGUUUCAUUUUUCAGGUUUUGGUGGACCAAUGACAGUAGGUUGAGCAUAUGGUUUUACUCACGUCCUACUGGGGAGGUUUUGGGUCUUUUGUAGCGCCGGCGCGUCUUAUUUUGAUUGUAUUGAUGUCUUAUUUUUGUUAGACAUCAAUUAUAUUUUUUGGGACAUUUUUUGUCAUGCACUUAGAUGUGAUUUUGUAUGAAUCAAAGUUGUUAUAUGAAUGAAAG